AGGUACUUUUCAGAAGAGACGCGGAAGUAAACUGAUAACUACUUAACUGAGACAUGGUGCAAAUACAUCUAUACUUCGAUUAAGCGCUACUUUUUGACGGUAAAGGAUGCAAAUUCUAUGGCUUUAUGUAUGCUAUGUACUAUUAAGGCUUGAAGCUGUAAGCUCCAGCAGUACAUGGCAGUGGCAAUUCGAUAGAUCCGUAUGCCUCAACGAUGGCGACAACGCUACAAUGACGUGGAAUGUGACUCUGGAGUCAGGCCAGAGUUUGUCAGGAAUUGAGAUCUGGGAGCAGUCUACAGCGCCUGGAGCAACACCGUCCAAGAUGUAUACUUAUCUUGUUGGACCUGAACCAGCCUACAGUGACCGAGUGAUGUCCAUAUCGCUCACGGAUUCAAGCCCUGUCUACCAUAUUGUGUUUACGCUGGCGAAUGUUAGCAACAAUAAAGAUGGAUUCGGCACUAAAAGCCUACAGUGUAGAGUUGCAGCAGGAAGUUUGCCAACCAUUACAGGACAACCCCCGUUAGACACCGUGUUUAACGUGCAAGUCCCACCCAGCAGCGUUGUCAUUUCUCCACCGAGUCCUACCGUGACCGAGCGUGACCAAGUGAACCUGACGUGUUCAGCUGAUGGUACUCCUCCACCAAACUUCACAUGGAUCAGCCCUCAGGGGCACACCGUAGCACACGGACCGUACUACAACAUUCCCAUCGUGCACCGCAACAUGUCAGGGGUCUACACAUGCGUCGCUACUGAUGGGUGUGGACGGAAUCACACCAGGGAUGCGACACUAGCAGUAAGAUACAAGCCUGACAAUACCUCUUUGACCAUACUGGGUGGAAACGCAUCUGCUCAGUGUGGAUCAAAAAUAUCAUUUAACUGUACUGCUGACGGCGUUCCAAAACCAAAUAAGUACUCUCUUUACUUGGGGAAUCAGGCGAUGAAGACGGACACCAAUGGUGAAUUUAGUAACAUCCAGCUGAACACUUCAGGAGAACAUGUGUUCACGUGUGUACCUACUAAUGAAAUUGGUGAAGGACUAAAUAAAACUGUGAUCGUAAACGCAUCAGAGGUACUUCCUGUAGUGUCCGUCGACAUCCCGCCCAAUGGUAGAAUGGUCAAAGGGUCAAGUGUUACUUUGACAUGUGACGGUACAGGACCGGUACCGUUACAAAUCAGCUGGUACAAAGACAAUAUUUUCAAUGCCUCGGGAAAAACCCUCACGAUAUCGAAAGUCACAGUACAAGACGAAGGGAACUACACUUGUAAUUUGUCAAGUUCAUGUGGAACAACGUUGAACACCUCGUUUAUUGGCGUUGAUUACAUUCCAGAGAACACAACUCUUCAAAUCAACAAAUCGAAUAAUACUAGUAUAAUCGCAUGCGUUGGAGACAUUAUCCUGCUAAACUGUUACGCUGAAGGCAAGCCUUCAGUUAUCACUUAUUCCCUUCUGCUGAAUGGUGAACAGCAUAAGGCUAAUCGAAGUGGAGUUUUUCUUGUCUUCCCCGGCACUCCUGGAUGGAACAAUUUUUCUUGCGUUCCUAACAACACUAUCGGCAAAGGGCCAGAAGCACUUGUUCACAUCAUCGUUCCAGUCACUCCCAGCAGCGUUGAAAUUUCCCCACCGAGUCCUACCGUGACCGAGCGUGACCAAGUGAACCUGACGUGUUCAGCUGAUGGUACUCCUCCACCAACCUUCACAUGGAUCAGCCCUCAGGGGAACACCGUAGCACACGGACCGUCCUACACCAUUCCCAUGGUGCACCGCAACAUGACAGGAAUGGUGUACACGUGCGUGGCUACUAACGGCUGCGGGAAAAACCUCACCAAGGAUGCUAAUCUUGCUGUACAAUACAAACCUGUGAACACUUCCCUGACCAUACUUGGUGGAGAUGCGUCUCGUCAAUGCGGAUCGAAUGUAUCAUUUAACUGUACUGCUGACGGCGCACCAAAGCCGCAUAAGUACUCUCUCUACUUGGGAAAUCAGACGAUCAAGACUAACACCAAUGGUGUAUUAAGUAACAUCAAGCUAAACACUUCAGGAGAACAUGUAUUCACGUGUGUACCUACUAAUGAAAUUGGUGAAGGACUAAACAAAACUGUGAUCGUAAACGCAUCAGAGGUACUUCCUGUAGUGUCCGUCGACAUCCCGCCCAAUGGUAGAAUGGUCAAAGGGUCAAGUGUUACUUUGACAUGUGACGGUACAGGGCCGGUACCAUUACAAAUCAGCUGGUACAAAGACAAUAUUUUCAUUGGCUCGGGAAAAACCCUCACGAUAUCGAAAGUCACAGUACAAGACGAAGGGAACUACACUUGUAAUGUGUCAAGUUCAUGUGGAACAACGUUGAACACCUCAUUUAUUAUUGUUGAUUAUAAACCAGAAAACACCACCCUAAGGGUCAAUACUACAAACGCUUGUGUCGGAGAGAUGGUCCAGUUGAACUGCAGCGCUGUUGGCAAGCCUGCUGAGAUCACCUAUAUUUUGAAAAUGAAUGGAAAGUUGAUGAGUCAGAAUGGAAUAUCUCUUGUUCGUCUUAACUCGCCAGUUGUACAUACGUUCGCGUGCAUUCCUAACAAUACUGCGGGAAGUGGUCAAGAGGCGAAUCUCACCAUCCCCGUAUCAGAGCCUCCAUCUAUAGUCCAGUUUCCCUCAAAGAAUAUCAUCCUUACGGAAGGAGAUAGUAAAGAAUUGAUGUGUAACGCUUCUGGUUCCCCAAGUCCAGCCGUGACAUGGUACAAACUAGGCAUAGACUGGGUGGAUCAAAAUGUAUCAAAACUUGCCCUGUCGACAAGAGAAGACACAGGCAGCUAUAGAUGUAUGGCGACUAAUGCUGCUCCCUGCAAGAACACGUCAUUUUCUUCUUGGAUCAAUGUUACUGUGCAUUACUUUGAUAUAGAAACAAGUGGGGUUGUAUGCUCCCCAUUCAACAUUACUGUCAGGACCAACUUGAACCCCACCCCAAGUAUCAACUGUACCUGGGGCAUAGGCGGGAGCGGCACAGUUAUCCAGGGAGUAAACACAGCGUCUGAUCAAGUGAUAUAUUCUGUAAAUGUGCAAGGCGGACAGACUACUAAUGUGACCUGCUCGCGUGGAAAUAACAAGAGAAUCUACACUGUCGUUUCAUCAUCAGAUAAAGCAGCUACUACAAAUGGCAGCAUUAGAUUUGCAAAUAUGAGCUUUCCACCAACUGAAGAAAACAAAACAAAUAUUAACAGAUUGUUUAAUGAAACCGUCCCGCCGUGUACUGGGAACGUGAAGGUUUAUGGGUAUAGACGAGGGAGUGUCAUUGUUGACAUGGCUAUCACGAUGUCAGAGAAAGUCGCGGAUCCUUUCGCUCUUCUCAAAGAUGCGUUUGUCGCGGCUGGUGCAACAUAUGGCUUGACCAUCGAUCCUACAGGCGUAAAGGCACAGCAAGCCAACCCCAGUGAUUCCACUACCAGUCCCCCAUCCCUGACCACCCAAGGCGCGCCCACCACCGCCGCCGCGGUCACGCCCAAAGAGGGUCUGACAGAUGUCGUAAUCGCCCUUAUCGUGGUCGGCGUCAUCGUCUUUUUGCUCAUAAUAUGCGGGCUGGUCUUUUGGUUCUGUGCGAAGAAGAAGAAAAAGAAAAGAGAUAUCGGUGCAGACAAUCUCGAAAUGUUCGCUAAUGGUACAGGAACAUCACCCUAUGCUGAGGUUGGACCAACAGCGCAUGCUAAUGGUGGCAGCGGCGUCGAGUCUCCUUACUCAGAAGUGGAACAGCGCAGAAACAAUGAUGAUACCCAAGGCGCAGGCGCAGAUGCCUACCCCCAGGUGGACAAAAGCAAGAAAUCAAAGCCCAAGGAGGAGAAGGAGAAGUUGCCAGACAUGAUGCAGCAACCUGACCCGAACGUCACAUACGCGCAAGUGGAUAAAUCCCUCAAGAAGAAAAACAGAGAAGAGCCCAUGUACGCCCAAGUUGACAAAAAAAAGAAAAAGCCGAAAAAGAAGCCAGGAGAACUAUUGUACGCGGAUCUCAGCGACUUCACUGAUGGUCCAAAGCCUAAGGGCGACGGGACUCUCGAGUUUGCGUCAGGCGAAGGCGUGAAAAGACCCGAGGCGUACCGAGAGACCGAUUACGCUGAGAUCUCUCAUGUGCUGAGAGGAAAAACGGAAGACACACAGCCUACUGCCAUGUGUUUCCCUCCCGGACCCCCAACGUUUGCUCUAAAGAAUUGCGACGUCAAAGAGACGUCUGUCCGUCUUCGCUGGACCCCACCCCUGAGCGACAAUGGCAGCCCUAUCCUCGAUUACAAGGUGGAAGUCAGCUCCGUCUUCGCGGCGGAGGGUAUCUCAAGUACCUCGAUCCUAAUUCCCGAACUUGAACCGAACACCAAGUACUUGGCCCGGGUUGCUGCGCGGAACGCCGCUGGCCUGGGUACCGCGGCAGAACAGUCUUUUACAACUAGGGGGAAAGGCGUUGAACCAGGACAAGGAAACGCGGCAUUUCAAAAUGAGGCAUACGAGCCUGAUCAAGCCCCGAAUGACAGUGGCAAAGCCACGGCAUAAAGCUCUGUCAAGCGCUGCUUGGACAAGGUGCCUGCUAGUUACCAAGACCCCUAACAGUUAACUUCCUACCCCCACCCUCCGCUGAUGGUCGCAGCACGUCUAUGACGACAGUUAGUACUUAAUAACCCUCUACUAACCGACGACAACCCGAUCGCUACCCGAGUACCUCCCGAUCACUACCCAAGUACUUCCCGAGCACGGUCCCAAACACCAUUCACCAGCGGUUGCAGCAUGUCUCUCUGGCGACAGCGAGUACGUUAAUAAUUCACCUCUACUAACCGAGAACAACCCGAUCACUACCCGAGUACUUCCUGAGCACGGUCCCAAACACCAUUCGUCAGCGGUUGCAGCAUGUCUCUGGCGACAGCGAGUACGUUAAUAAUUCACCUCUACUAACCGAGAACAACCCGAUCACUACCCGAGUACUUUCCGAGCACCGUCCCGAUUACCAUUCCAAGGCGGUUGCAGCAUGUCUCUGGCGACAAGUGUACUUUAAUGAUACACUCCUACUAACCGACAACAGCCCGAUUACUUUCCGAGCACCGUCCCGAAUUACCAUUCCAAGGCGGUUGCAGCAUGUCUCUGGCGACAAGAGUACUUUAAUGAUACACUUCUACUAACCGACAACAACCCGAUUACUUUCCGAGCACCGUCCCGAAUUACCAUUCCAAGGAGGUUGCAGCAUGUCUCUGUCGACUGCGAGCCUUUAUUCUCUACUAACCGACAGCAUUCCAACCACUCCCCGAGCAACGCGCAAGAUAGAGGCGGAUAUAACCAGCAUAUGUUAGCAUGAUGAGUUUUUUUUUUUUUUUUAUAACCAGAAUCACAGCACCUAAAGAGCGGACCGUCCAUUGUUCAAAAUUUUCAAAUAACACCCCAAAGAAAGUCUCAUUUUAUCUGAUUAGGGCGCUGUGCUUGUGUAAAAAGAGCACUGAGCAACGACUUUUUAAAAUCCGGACACUCGUCAAAAUAAGCAAAAUUCCACAAUUAUCUUUGUCCAGUUUCGAAAUCAACUGUGUACUGCUGGGCAAUUGUCUGAUUGGCUCAUUGGCACAUGUUAGCCUUGCAAAUCGACUACUAUGAGUAACUGCCUGGGUGGUCUUGCAGAAUUUACAAGAUUGUGCAUUGUUCUACGUUGUUGGAUUUCCGCUAAUGCUUCUUAUUUAGCAAUUGUGCAUUGUUCAAUUUGUACGCUGAAUUUGGAACUGGGUUUUACAUACACAAGUAUUAACCAUAGCACAUAACCAAGCUAGUGUGAUGAUAAUCAUUCAAAAUUUAAGACACUUGUGAAUGCCAUUUUUAGAAUUCAGUCAUAAAAUGACGUUUUUAGUGGCUCAGCAUUGUCCAGGUAAAGUUUUCGUUAUCAAAUAACGUAGAAGUUGCCAAAAGUGUCAUAUAUCAUAUAAUCAUAUAUCACUUAGCAGUUUUUUAUAGCAUAAAAAGUCAUGUUACUUAAAAUCGCGGAGAUUUGAAAAAUAACUUUUUAAGAAAAAAAAAUAUGUUAUUAUAACCCACACGUUUGCCAAGUUAAAAUAGUUUAUAUACAUUUUUGGUAAGAACUUUGACCAUCAUGGCAAGAUGAAACUAUAGGAGCCAAUGGGGUCUUCCCUAAACGGUUCAAUGGCAAACAAUAAAUAUAAACAUUUUUAUUAAAAUAUAUAAAUAUUAUACUUGUAUUUCCGAGCAGUAGAACACAAUUGCAUAGAACGUAUGGUAUUCACCUAAUUAAAAACGCUGUCAGUGGAAAUGGUGAUUAACAAAUGACAUUUUAACGGACCGAAACGAACCAUGAAUUUCAAUAUUUUUUAGCCAAAUGCAAAACCAUAAUGUCUGAAUUGUACGAUUAUCCAUUAAAGGUAAUUAAUAUGCGGUUUUGGCAUUAGUUUCAGCGGCGUAGCCAGGAUUUUUAACAGGAGGGACCCAAAGGGGACUUUCAAUGCAUUUUCUUCUGUAUUUAAGAUAAUGUCUAAUACAUUUACUGAAUUUUUGGCUGCUUAAAGGGGGGGGGGGGGUUGGCCACCCCCUUGGCCACGCCCCUGAUUUUAUAUCACCUUAAACGAUUAGUGCCCAAUGGUAAUUAGCUUUGUUGAAAUUGCCCAUAGCAUUUGCCCUUCGUCGUUUCCAAUGACAACGUUUCAAAGAAUGCAAAUAAAUUCAAGCUAAGAGAAAAA